rfam:Phytophthora infestans T30-4 supercont1.24 genomic scaffold, whole genome shotgun sequence.
ACCCGUCUAGCUCCGUCGGUAGAGCGCUGGCCUUUUAAGCCAGUGGUCGUGGGUUCGAUCCCCACGGGGGGUG